rnacentral:rRNA from 1 species
CUGGCGGCGUGCUUAACACAUGCAAGUCGAACGAUGAACCGGAGCUUGCUCCGGGGAUUAGUGGCGAACGGGUGAGUAACACGUGGGCAACCUGCCCCAGACAUCGGGAUAACCAUUCGAAAGGAUGGCUAAUACCGGAUAUGACCACUUCGGGCAUCCGAUGGUGGUGGAAAGGAUUCUGGUCUGGGAUGGGCCCGCGGCCUAUCAGCUAGUUGGUGGGGUAAUGGCCUACCAAGGCGACGACGGGUAGCCGGCCUGAGAGGGCGACCGGCCACACUGGGACUGAGACACGGCCCAGACUCCUACGGGAGGCAGCAGUGGGGAAUAUUGCGCAAUGGGCGAAAGCCUGACGCAGCGACGCCGCGUGAGGGACGAAGGUCUUCGGAUUGUAACCUCUUUCAGCAGGGACGAAGCGAAAGUGACUGUACCUGCAGAAGAAGCACCGGCUAACUACGUG